rnacentral:rRNA from 1 species
UACGUAGGGUCCGAGCGUUGUCCGGAAUUAUUGGGCGUAAAGGGCUCGUAGGCGGUGCGUCACGUCGGGAGUGAAAACUCAGGGCUCAACCCUGAGCGUGCUUCCGAUACGGGCGGACUAGAGGUAUGCAGGGGAGAACGGAAUUCCUGGUGUAGCGGUGGAAUGCGCAGAUAUCAGGAGGAACACCGGUGGCGAAGGCGGUUCUCUGGGCAUUACCUGACGCUGAGGAGCGAAAGUGUGGGGAGCGAACAGG